ensembl:lncRNA
AUGCGUGAGGAACAUCUUUGCACUCUAAAUACAUUAGGUAACAUAAACAGACAACAGAGUUACAUCAACUUACGGUGCAGCAUAAUGGGUUGCAGGCGUAGAGGCUUGGGUUUUUCUGUUUGUUUUCGGGUUCAUCCCUUAGCCAACUACUUAUACUUUGGGAGAUGUGUGUGUUUUUACAGAACUUAAGCAUCCCCCAAUUCCCAAAUCGCUCGCUCACACACACACACACACACACACACACACACACCACGGGUUGGCACAGUGUAGUCUGAUUGAAGUUGCAGUCUGUUAGAUGUUUCUGAAAAAGCACAAGAGUGUCCUCCGCAGACAGACCGUUAGACAGGAGUGUCUGUUGAGUGCCUCACAUCUCAGGGGCUGUCAUCACCGAUGCUUGUUGUAAUCUUUCAAUCUUGUCACUGUUCCGUUCUCUGUUCUCUUUUUUAUUUAUAAUUAUCUAAAGUGCUAUUUAUCAAACAAUGACAUUUUAAAGGAAAAAAACAACUUGUAGUUUCUUUGCAUUUUGGCUUAUUAUGUCUAGUUUUGGGGGGUAAUGUUUGUUUUCUCUCUUUCUGUGCCGUAAAGAGCUUGUUGUCUGUAGAUUAAUAUCAUUUUGUUUGAUUCUAAAGGAUUUCAAUAGUUUUAAGUAUUGUCUUGAGAGAAGCCAAAGUCAAUGCAUUUCAGUGGAUUCUGUAAGCGUAUUGUAUGUUUGUUUGACAACACUUCGAAAUCUGUCAUUGGAUGGGAUUGAAAAAGUACAAAAAAUGCAGGCUUUCCUAUUUCUACAAAUGAUUGUACUUAUGCAUUUUGUACCAGUGAAACUUUUUAUACUGGAGAUUAAAGGAAACAAAAAAAACUAUUAGAAAAACAAACCUGUCUGGCCUCAUGAUGUGGCCUGACCUUUGUUGACUGGUUCCCGAGUAUGAUUUAUAGCUGGCAUCAAGAACGUUGUCUUUUAAUAUACGAUUUUCUAGAAGAACUUUGGCUUGGUUUCUUUAAUGAAUUAACUUCUUAUUUUUCCGUACUUCAGUGUUGUUCUUUUCGCAAAGAGGAGUUAGGCGAGUGUUGAUUUCUUUUUGGCUUAUAAAUAGUUAUAGCCGUUUGUCUAUACAAAAAAAAAACGGUAAGUUUCAUUUAACUUCUGUAUUGUGACGUCUACAUGAUAAAGACAAUUAGGAAUAUAAAUAUUUAGUCACCUUCAGUGGAUUAAUGUAUUAGUUUAAUAAAAAAAAGAUGCUUAAUUAGAGGUUUUUGCUUUUAACUGUUUAGAUUUCUCUGGUUUCUCUGUCCCCUGUGAACUAACUGUGUAGCUGAAGCAGUCAGAAUUAUUUUUGUAAACGUAUGUUCUUGUGUGAUGCAGUUACUUGCUUCUGUCUCCGAUAUUAAACCAUUUUUCCUAAUAAUCGUCUCUGUGUGUGUGUUGUUGUUGUUGUUGUUGUGUUCCAGUGGCUGUCUGAUGUCGUAAUGUUUCACACAACCCCACGUUUCACAUCUCUAUCUCUCCUUUUCCUCUCUGGUGUUUGUUCCUUGUUUUACACAUAGUACAGUUGAUUUCAUCCCCAAGUGACAACUCACUAUGGUGUCCUCAGUAAACAUGAUACAUAUACAUCAAGGUGUGUCUAUGUAUAUUACUUUGUAGCCCAAGAUGAUGUGACAGUUCAUCACCUUUUGGGAAAAAAAAUCCAAAUGACAAUCAAAUUUGGAAAACAAAAUUCUACUUCAGGCUAUGGUGCUCGGGGGCCAUGAUAAUGACAAAUAUUUCAACAAGAAAUCGCUUGACAGGAUUUUGUGAGUUGAAGGAACACAAAACUGUUAUCUGACUUAACCACUCUCACAACAAUUGAAUUAUCAUAAAUCGAGCUCUGUGCCUACCGGCCUUGUGUCAUCCUCCAAUCUGUCUCUGCCUGACUACCUAAUUGGCCGGAACGUUUCAAAAGAGAGCAGGUCUUUCUGCUGUCCCUGAUUAGGAAACGGCUGCUAUUGGCCAAUGUGAGGGUUCCCUCAUCAGGGAUUGGCCUGUGCUGUACACUGUUCUGGGCAUGGUCUGUCUACUAUGUCUGUGUCCAACUCCACUUCUGUACCGUGUCAGUACUGCAUCCCCUAAUAUGUAGAGAAGUAGGAAAGGAAAGAGUCAAAGCUACACCCUUUAAACAUAGAUUCCCUAUCAAUUUGACCUAUGACAAUGUAUCUAAAAAAAGAAUUUAUUUCACCUUUAUUUAACCAGGUUA